GGAGAUCCUAGGAAGGGUUCGUGGGAUGAGCCUCCAGGGCGUUCUGACCUGUGGAAGGAAGGCAGGUGACGUGGAGUCCGGCAUGGAGGCAGGAGACUGGACAACUUGAGCUUUCAGAACCGGCUGUGAGUAUUGGGUUCGAGCAUCGCUCUUGACACCGGAGCAGAGCCGACUUCAUGGGUAUCGACCCCUGCAGACGCACGGGCCCCCCGGCGUGGCUUACGGCUCUGCUGUUGCCGUCUUGAAGUUCUUAAUGAUGUUUGAACAAAGGGCCCAGCCUUUUCAUUUUGCUCUGGGCCCCACAAAUGAUGUAGCUGGUUCUGCACCAGGAUGAGUAGGAAGCAAAAGCAAGGGCGGGUGGGGGGUGGUAGUUAGCAGAGGGUGAGCUGGCCUUUGUUUCAUUUAAAUUGCAGUGUGGGAGAUUUAGAUCAGCCAAGCUCAGGAUUUUUUCAGAUGUAAGAGACACGGAAGCAGUGGAACGGGGUCCUACUACCUGAGGAGGAGAAAGAACUGCGGGUCUCCUUUAGGAGAGAAGUGGGGCAGAUACCCAUGAAUUCCGUUUGUCCGUCUAUUCAACACAGAGGACAGAGUGAGUUUUGUGGGCUGGACGCAGCCUGAGUUUUGCCCCGAGGUGGAGGGAGGAGUGAUCUCUCUGGGUCUCCUUCAGCUCUCAGCGCCAGCACCGUCAUGUCCUGAAGACAGCGGUAAACCAGGGGUCGUGGGGCCCGGGUUUCAGGCCUGGAUCACCCCUCUGGGCCUCACUUUCCUCCUCUUUACACGGAGGGGUUUAAACCGGAUACUUCCAGAGGUCGUGCCCAGCCUUCUAUUAUCUUGUUUGGCUCUAAGAUUCAGAAAAUGGCCUGGUCCCAUGCCCGGGGGUCACAGCUCAGGUAAGAAAGCAGUGUGGUGGGUGCUGGGGUUUGGAGAGGGUGGGGAGCCAGAGGUCGCCAGAUUGCCCGACUUGGAGCCACCAAGUCACCCUCCUCUUCCUCUCCAGCUCCUCCAGGAUGUCCCCUGGACGGGUUCAUCCGCUCCUUGCCUACCCCUGAACUGUCAGGGUGACUCAUCUCAGGAUGGAACCUCUUAAGGAAGGGAUGGCAUGUCAGGGCAGCAGUCUGAGAGGAGGCGGUGCCCGCACAAUGCCUCAGGGGGAGUUGGCACGUGGCCUGGGCUCUGCUGAGAAGCUGCUCCGCACCACCCGCUCCGGGGCAGGCCAGCGACCCCUGCACUGCCCCAGCGCCGCCACCCUGCUCAGCCUCCUGAGGCUCUGACUCCGCCACCAAACCGGCCCCACCACUGCGGGCAAGAGUGGGGCUUGGACUUGGAGUCCCUGCGUGUGAGCCUUUGUCCCCACACCUGUGCCAGGCGCUGACAGUUCCUUCUCUACCACACCCGGGAAGAGUCCCCUACCAGCCGUAAGACCCGCACAGAUGUCCCGGUUGUGCAAGAGAGGGAGGCCGAGCCGUAGGGUAGGAGAAAGAGCGCGAACCAGGAGUGAGGAGACUGGAGGCUCCGCUGUGCCACGGGGGCCUCGGUUUCCUUACCUGUUCAAAGGUGCGUACUAGUGCCUCUUCUACUGAGAGGUACUUACCUGAGGGCUUGUUACCCAGAUGAAGGUAUAGCCACUGCAGAGGACUUUGAAGGAUGAAGGGACCGUUCUGAAAAAAAAAAUUGAGAAAUCCCAAAUAAACACAGGGUGAAAUAAAGAAACGAGAUACUGCAGAGAAACUUAAUACUGAGGGGCACCUGGGUGGCUCAGUCGGUUAGGUGUCUGCCUUCCACUCAGGUCAUGAUCCCAGGGUCCCCCGAUCGAGUCCCGCAUCAGGCUCCCUUUUCAUCGGGGAGCCUGCUUCUCUCUCUCCCUGUACCCCUCUACCCUGCUCGUGCUCUCUCUCGGUAUCUCUCUCUCAAAUAAAUAAAUCAAAUCUCUAAAAAAGAAAAAGAAACUUUAUAACAAGAAGCACCUGUGUCCACCCCGACCCUCUUGCUACAGCCAACCCUCUUCCCAAAAUCUCAGCUAUUCCUUUCUCUGACGUUUACUUUGCUGACUCUAAAUAGUCUCUCCAUCUUUUUUUUUUUUCAGCUUUGUUGAGGUUCAAUUGACAAAUAAAAAUGUAAGAUAUCUGAAGUGUGGGGCAGCCUGGGUGGCUCAGCGGUUUAGCGCCGCCUUCAGCCCAGGGCGUGACCCUGGAGACCUGGGAUCGAGUCCCUUGUCGGGCUCCCUGCAUGGAACCUGCUUCUUCCUCUUCCUGUGUAUUUGCCUCUCUCUGUGUCUCUCAUGAAUAAAUAAAUAAAAUCUUAAAAAAAAAAAGAUCUCUGAAGUGUGUAUCAUAACAAUUUGAUGUAUGGAUGCAUGGUGCAUUCUUCCCAUCAAAAUAACACAUCCAUCACCCCCAUAUUUAUCUUUUUGUUGUUGUUAUUAUUGAGAAGUUUUUUGGUGAGUGGAAUUUAAGUCUACAUUCUUAGCUAACUUCAAUUAUACAACAUGGGGUAAUCCACUAUAGCCACCGUAUUACACGUUAGAUCCUCAGAACUUCUUCAUCUUCUAGCUGAUAGUUUGUGCCUUUUCACCAACCUCUCCCUACAUCCCCCACCCCUCAGCCCCAGCAACCACUUUUCUACUCUCUGUUUUAUGAGUUUGCCUUGGUUUUGGAUUUAACAUAUAAGUGACACCGUGCAGUGUUUGUCUUUCUGCUGCUCCUACAUUUGAAAGCUUCAGGCAUUAUAUAUUUUUAAAGAUUUUAUCUUUAAGUAAUCUCUACACCCAACGUGCGGCUAGAACUCAUGACCCUGAGACCAAGAGUCACCCGCUUUACCGACUGAGCCAGCCAGGAGCCCUCAGCCAUUAUUUCUUUUUAAAAGAUUUUAUUUACUUAUUCAUGAGAAACAGAGAGAGGCAGAGACACAGGCAGAGGGAGAAGCAGGCUCCCUGCGGGGAGCCCCAUGUGGGACUCGAUCCCAGGACCCCGGGGUCACGCCCUGGGCUGAAGGGAGGCGCUCAAUCGCUGAGCCACUCAGGGGUCCCUCAGCCAUUAUUUUAAAGCUUCAGGAUUUAGGCCAUUUAUUUGUUUUUGUUUUGUUUUGUUAAUUUUCUUCUUCUUCUUCUUCUUCUUCUUCUUCUUCUUCUUCUUCUUCUUCUUCUUCUUUUUUCAAAAUUUAGGCCACUUAGAUUCUCUUUUCUUUCCCUUCUAAUUAUUGAUCAUUAUAUUAUUAUUUUAUAAGUUUAAGUAAUGCAUCUUUAGUUCUUAUUCUAUUGGCGUCCCACAGUAUCUCGUGACUUUUCGCUAAUUAAGACUCCGCACCCUUCCCCAGAGCUGCAGUUGUGCUACCGUGAAGGAAGACGUGUCAAGUUGAGGUGAACAUCUUGUUACUGGGGGAUGUUCGGUUGAAAGAUCGUUGGAGGUGCCUUGAAGGUCUGGCUGAGUGUUUAGGAUGACACCAGAGUUCCAUCAAGACUUUGGCCCACUCUAAAAAGUAGAUCCCAAAUUUGUGGGGUGAGGGUAGGCAGAGUUGCCCAGCAAGGGGGUAGAGGCCUGGUAGGCUCUUGGGUGGUGCCAAGGGGACCGUUACUGCCUAAGGAGAGAGUCUGUGGGGUUAAGGGGACUAUCCCCAAUGGGGAGGGCUUGGUAUUUGGACAAGGAGCAGCUCCCCAGGAUUUGAGAGCUGGUAUGGCCCCAGCGGGGAGAGAUUGUUUGAAAGAGGGUCUGAGCGGCUGGGUGAGGCCACAGGCCAGCGGGAUUUCCUUCGGCUCCAGCCACUCGGGUGGGUGGGACCGGAUUGCUGGAACUGGACACAGGAAUCUGCCUUUGUUUCCAGCUGGAGGGGAAAUGCCAUAAAUCCUGCCCCUUUCCCACCCCUCCGGCAUCCGUGCCCAGGCUCUGUCCUUGCAGUACCAGACAGCCUGGUAUGGAGGGCCGUCAGCAAGUUCUUGAUUCUAGGGCCCCCUCAUCUGAAGUCCUCUGCCCCAAAUUCCCCGAAAGCAGAUCAUGGGCACGGAUGUAGGAAAUAGUGGUUGGGAGGUAUCCAAGGCUGGUCUGGAGUAAAUAGCCACAAAGCAGGAUUUAGGUUUUGACUUGCUCUACUCUCUCCUUUCCCUCCGAGGAGCAUGGCUUUUCAGCGAGGUCUAAGGGUGAACGAGGCCCCCCUCCCCCCACCAAGGCCCACUGCAAGUCGCUGAACAGACCACGACUCGGAGCACAGUCACCUGGGCAGUGCAUGGUGCAGACGGGACCCCAGGGAGGGGGAACCUGCCUUUAUUUCCCCCUCUGUCAGUGGGUCUGUGUGCUUGUGUACCUGUGUGAUGGGGUGGGUUCGUGUGUGCUUUGCCGGGGCCGGGUGGGCAGCCGGCCUGUGUGUACUUCUGUGCCUGGGAACCUGCAGGCCCCUGUGGGACCCUGGCUGGCCGGGUAUUGGCCAUGCUGUUGCCCAUGUGACUGAUGCAAGUGGCAGGGCCCCUCCCACGCCAAGCCCUGCCAUCAAGUCCUCCCUCCAGACACGGCACCUUCCUCAACCAGGGUCCCCCUGAGGAAAGGGAGCAAAGUGUGCAGCUCUGAUUCUCUGCAGGAACCCCAGCCAGGUGGUUUGUCAGUGAGACCAGCUGAAAUCUGACGGGGGAAAUGUCCUCAGAGGUCAGGGAGAGGAAUGGGGGGGGUGAGGAGGGAAGCGGGGCCUCGUGGUUGGUGUGGCAUGGGUGUUUCCAACCAUUUGGAAAGUACGACUGCUAGAGGGGAGGGAAUCCUGUUCGGGUGCCCCAGUUUGGAAAAAAAGGGGCAUAAACCAGUGAUCCCCACCUGCCCCUCUGUCCUCCCUACAUACGUGCACCCCCCCGCCCUCUCUCGGCCCAGCAGCACUUUUCUGGGGCAUGCCCUGGGGUGAGUGGGGACACCGUGGCUCCUGGACCAGGACAGGCCCUACAAAGAGGAAGGAGAUGAUAAAGGGCCCCCUGAGCCUCCCAGAUCUUGGUGGAACCUGAACUCCACUCUCGUCUAUACACGUUUAUUAAACCUGGACAGGCUGGGCUCAAAGCCAGGGACUAGGGAGACAAACCCAGCUUCUGCCCAUGCAGGAGUGAGGGGAGGGUGUCCCAAGAGUCCUCACAGGCCUGGCUGACAUCCCAGGGUGUCCAGAAGGCCAACUUCUCAGUCCUUUCUGUAGGAUCCCCCCCAUGGGGCAGGGUGAGGGUGGCCAGGGGCAUUCAGGGGGCAGGCUGGCCAGCCAUCAGUGCAGCGGGGAUGGGCUGCAGGCCCAGCAUGCACUGGGCUUGGGGGCACAGAGCUCACAGGAGCUGGUCUGGGAAGGCUGUCUGGAAAAAGCAUGCGUUUCCCCUUCAGGGCCCACCAGAUCAACAUCCUGGAACCACCAGGAAGGCCACAGGGUUCCAAGGACGGGUCCACUGGCCUCCCCCAUGGAGCUGCCCCUUGGCCACACCCUGGCCCAUCAGCACAGACACAGAACCCAUUGUCCGCUGGGCGCUGACUGCUGGCCCGGGCCACGCACAGUGCCCAGCACACCUCUCCUGUUUGGGCUGCAGGAGGACCCUGGGAAGCAGGGAUUACAUAUUAUCACCACUUGAGGUUACAGGUGAGGAGACUGAGGGACGCCUGGGUGGCUCAGUGGUUGAGCAUCUGCCUUCGGCUCAGGGCGUGAUCCCGGGGUCCUGGGAUCAAGUCCUGCAUCGGGCUCCCUGCGUGGAGGCUGCUUUUCCUUCUCCUCUGCCUGUGUCUCUGCCUCUCUCUGUGUGUCUCUCAUGAAUAAAUAAAUAAAACCUUUAAACAAAACAAAAAAA
rnacentral:lncRNA from 1 species